rnacentral:rRNA from 1 species
UAAGAGGUCCAGCCUGCCCAGUGACUCUGUUCAACGGCCGCGGUAUCCUAACCGUGCAAAGGUAGCGCAAUCAUUUGUCCUUUAAAUAAGGACUAGUAUGAACGGCACCACGAAAGCUAUACUGUCUCCUUCCCCUAAUCAGUGAAACUAAUUUUCCCGUGAAGAAGCGGGGAUAAUUUUAUAAGACGAGAAGACCCUAUGGAGCUUUAAACACACAACAACUGUCACGGACCCCUCCUCUUCCCCGGAAGAAACUACUCACCCGAACAUUUUGAUUGCAAGUUUUAGGUUGGGGUGACCACGGAGCAAAAAAUAACCUCCAUAGUGAAUGGGAUUCUUCCCCCCUUAAACCCAGGGCCACAACCCUAAGAAUCAAUAAAUUGACACCCAUUGACCCAAUACUUUUGACCAACGAACCAAGUUACCCUAGGGAUAACAGCGCAAUCCACUUCAAGAGCUCCUAUCGACAAGUGGGUUUACGACCUCGAUGUUGGAUCAGGGCGCCCCAGUAGUGCAGCCGCUGCUAAAGGUUCGUUUGUUCAACGACUAAGGCCC